AACUAACGCUGGCGGCGUGCCUAACACAUGCAAGUCGUACGAGAAAGCCGGCUUCGGCUGGUGAGUAAAGUGGCGCACGGGUGAGUAACGCGUGGAUAAUCUGCCCUUAAGUGUGGAAUAACGUACCGAAAGGUGCGCUAAUACCGCAUAAUGCCUGGCAACACAAGUUGUCCGGCCAAAGAAGGCCUCUGUUUACAAGCUUUCGCUUCAGGAUGAGUCCGCGUACCAUUAGCUUGUUGGUGGGGUAAUGGCCUACCAAGGCUGCGAUGGUUAGCUGGUCUGAGAGGAUGAUCAGCCACACUGGAACUGAGACACGGUCCAGACUCCUACGGGAGGCAGCAGUGAGGAAUAUUGCGCAAUGGGGGCAACCCUGACGCAGCAACGCCGCGCGAGUGAGGAAGGUUUUCGGACUGUAAAGCUCUGUCGAGCGGGAAGAAGUGUACCAUGGCUAAUAUCCAUGAUAUUUGACGGUACCGCUAGAGG
rnacentral:rRNA from 1 species